UUUUCGAUACUGUGUAUUUGGAACUUUUCUUAGUAAAGAAAUGGCUAAUUGAACCGAGAAAAUUCUUCUCGUAACUUUCAUGCAUCCGUGCACAUUUUAGUAUUUUGAGACUUGGAAUAGUACAUUUAUUAUUAUCUAGGCCUAGGAUAUAGUAUAAAUUAGUCUAUGUCAACUGACAACCCACUUAGGACUUAUUAUUAGUGUGAAUAACUUUGUUAUUGUUGAUGUUAUCUUUUACUUUGGCCUUGUUGUGAACCGAACAUGUUGCAACUACAAAUUCUGCUCACCUGGUCACAAAGGUUCAUUUAGG
rnacentral:lncRNA from 1 species